AGUGAACGCUGGCGGUAGACCUAACACAUGCAAGUCGAACGGCAGCACAGUAAGAGCUUGCUCUUACGGGUGGCGAGUGGCGGACGGGUGAGGAAUACAUCGGAAUCUACUUUUUCGUGGGGGAUAACGUAGGGAAACUUACGCUAAUACCGCAUACGACCUACGGGUGAAAGCAGGGGAUCUUCGGACCUUGCGCGAUUGAAUGAGCCGAUGUCGGAUUAGCUGGUUGGCGGGGUAAAGGCCCACCAAGGCGACGAUCCGUAGCUGGUCUGAGAGGAUGAUCGGCCACACUGGAACGGAGACACGGUCCAGACUCCUACGGGAGGCAGCAGUGGGGAAUAUUGGACAAUGGGCGCAAGCCUGAUCCAGCCAUACCGCGUGGGUGAAGAAGGCCUUCGGGUUGUAAAGCCCUUUUGUUGGGAAAGAAAAGCAGCAGGUUAAUACCCCGCUGUUCUGACGGUACCCAAAGAAUAAGCACCGGCUAACUUCGUG
rnacentral:rRNA from 1 species